rnacentral:rRNA from 1 species
GAUGAACGCUAGCGGCAGGCCUAAUACAUGCAAGUCGAACGAGAUUAAGAGGCUUGCUUCUUAUGAAAGUGGCGCACGGGUGCGUAACGCGUAUGCAACCUACCUUAAUCAGGGGGAUAGCCCGAAGAAAUUCGGAUUAAGACCGCAUAAAAACACAGGAUAGCAUUAUCCAAUGUUCAAAUAUUUAUAGGAUUAAGAUGGGCAUGCGUGUCAUUAGCUAGUUGGCGGGGUAACGGCCCACCAAGGCGACGAUGACUAGGGGAUCUGAGAGGAUGACCCCCCACACUGGUACUGAGACACGGACCAGACUCCUACGGGAGGCAGCAGUAAGGAAUAUUGGUCAAUGGAGGGAACUCUGAACCAGCCAUGCCGCGUGCAGGAAGACAGCCCUCUGGGUCGUAAACUGCUUUUAUUCGGGAAUAAACCUUUCUACGUGUAGGAAGCUGAAUGUACCAAAGGAAUAAGGAUCGGCUAACUCCGUG